CGCCUACAACACUCAUCGUCACCAACGUGCAAAGGUCCAAAAAUCUUCCGCAGAAACUUUCUCUCAAACAUUCCAAGGGACGCCUCAUCGGAUACUGUCAUUAUCAUCGGCAAAUAUUACUUUCGCAAAAUUCUAAAUUCAUCUUACGCGGGCGGCGAAGUAUUGAAGCAACUGGUAUAAGUUAAAUAGAUGGGCGUCAUUAAAAACGAGCUGUCAUAAAUCACAUAUUUGGAUGCACUUAGGACUGAGUUUUUUUUGGUAUUUUGUAAACAAAAUUAAAUAUGAUAAAAUUUUGUGUGCAAAAAGAAACUACGCUCAAAAAAGUUUGCUGAAAUUUACAUAGCAAGCGCAAAAAUGGGCAACGAACGACUAAGGCUGGCUUCUCAAUACUUAGAAAAUGAAGAAAUGCUCAAGAGCGGGAGUGGAGGUGUAUUGGUAAAUUUAUAUAAUGUAAAUCCAGUUCCAGUUCAAGUAGUGAUGCGUUGAGCAAUCUUCAACUUUUGCUUCAUUGUAUAGAGAAAGAGUCGUCAGUGCCAUAAAGUACCUUAUUUUUAAUUUUGUAUUUUUCCCCUCUUACGUGAUCUUGUAUCGUUGAGUCAUGCUUAAUAUCGAAUUCAAUGAAGGCUUUCUAAUGUUGAGUUCAGUUCAAUUACUUUGUUGUUGCAAAUGUUUCCUUACUUGUUGUUGCAAAUGAACCUCAACAUAACGAGCACAGAAAUGAAGAAUCGAAAGCAGCUAAAGUAUGCACUAAAGUGGAGAAGUUCUUGGCUUAGUUGGUGUGUGCAACUGAUGCCAGAUAUCACAGUUAAUAAACAACUGGUGCGCUCCGUUAAACUCGACCGAAAUCGCUUAAGCGGUUAUCCUGCCAAUCAAGAAGAAGAAUAUCAAUACUAUGCCACCCCAAUAUUUGAUCAAAAUAAAAAAAAAUUUAAAUCCUUUUAAAUUCAAAGACAACCUUGAAUCAACCUUCAAGCUGUUCCCGCCAGUUCCGCCUCUAGCAAUUAGGGAACCAGUUGUUCAAUGGCAGCAUGUAUAAAUUGCAUAAUUGAAAUUCGAUUUGACGCUAAUUAAUAAGUAAUAACUUAAGUAAUAAAACAGAUGUAAAGUCAUGCACUUUUAAUUACUUAUUUAUAUUGUUUGUACUAAAAAUUGUUUAUAUUUAUUUAUUAGUUAAUUUUUACUAUCUGCAUGGUUGUAAAAAAUCAAGUGGAAUUAAUUGAAAAGAAAAGAGAUACAUUUUUCGUUAAAUUAGUUACUAAGCCCACCUUGACAUUACGAAUGGAUUAUCUUAGAUUUUCUAUGCUACGGUAUAUUUGGUAUGGUCAAUAAAUAGUUAAAAAACUAAAUUUAACUAUUUAUUGUUAUUUAAAAAUAA